UACAGAGGGUGCAAGCGUUAAUCGGAAUUACUGGGCGUAAAGCGCACGUAGGUGGCUGGGUAAGUUGGAUGUGAAAUCCCCGGGCUUAACUUGGGAAUUGCAUUCAAGACUGCCUUGCUAGAGUGUGGAAGAGGGAAGCGGAAUUCCAGGUGUAGCGGUGAAAUGCGUAGAUAUCUGGAGGAACAUCGGUGGCGAAGGCGGCUUCCUGGUCCAACACUGACACUGAGGUGCGAAAGCGUGGGGAGCAAACAGG
rnacentral:rRNA from 1 species